rnacentral:rRNA from 1 species
UACGUAGGGUGCAAGCGUUAAUCGGAAUUACUGGGCGUAAAGCGUGCGCAGGCGGUUAUGCAAGACAGAUGUGAAAUCCCCGGGCUCAACCUGGGAACUGCAUUUGUGACUGCAUCGCUAGAGUACGGUAGAGGGGGAUGGAAUUCCGCGUGUAGCAGUGAAAUGCGUAGAUAUGCGGAGGAACACCGAUGGCGAAGGCAAUCCCCUGGACCUGUACUGACGCUCAUGCACGAAAGCGUGGGGAGCAAACAGG